rnacentral:rRNA from 1 species
AUAUCAAUAAGCGGAGGAAAAGAAACUAACAAGGAUUCCCCUAGUAACUGCGAGUGAAGAGGGAAGAGCUCAAAUUUAAAAUCUGGCAGUGUUUUUGCUGUCCGAGUUGUAAUCUAGAGAAGUGCUGCCCAUGCUGGACCAUGUACAAGUCUCCUGGAAUGGAGCGUCAUAGAGGGUGAGAAUCCCGUCUUUGACACGGACUACCAAGCUCUGUGGUGCGCUCUCAAAGAAGUC